CGACCCUGUGCGGGAGAGUCCUCCGAGUGAGCUCGACGGAGGCGCCGAAGGAGCAAAUCCUCCCCGGAAUCUCUCAGGCAUACGUACCGCACGGACGAG
rnacentral:ncRNA from 2 species